rnacentral:rRNA from 1 species
UACCAGCUCUCCGAGUGGUGGGGAUGCUUAUUGGGCCUAAAGCAUUCGUAGCCGGCUGGGCAAGUCCUCCGUUAAAUCCAGCGAUUCAAUCGUUGGACUGCAGGGGAUACUGUCCGGCUAGUGGGCGGAAGAGGCCGACGGUAUUCUCGGGGUAGGGGUGAAAUCCUAUAAUCCCGGGAGGACCACCAGUGGCGAAGGCUGUCGGCUAGAACGCGCCCGACGGUGAGGGAUGAAAGCUGGGGGAGCGAACCGGAUUAGAUACCCGGGUAGUCCCAGCUGUAAACUAUGCAGGCUAGGUGUUGGCGCGGCUACGUGCCGCUCCAGUGCCGCAAGGAAGCCGUUAAGCCUGCCGCCUGGGAAGUACGGCCGCAAGGCUGAAACUUAAAGGAAUUGGCGGGGAGCACCACAAGGGGUGAAGCUUGCGGUUU